rnacentral:sRNA from 1 species
GCUUAGCCCUGAUUGAUGUGGCAUCCUUUUGCGUUUUCUGCAAAAGAUAUAACGAAAAGCAGGAAAUAGC